UUCAAUGACGGAAUACACACUUGUGGAACAUUCAAGAGAGCAUGCUCAUUAAGGCUUAUUAGAACCUGGGGAAGUUGUUCCUGGCUUGAUACAAGAAUAUUUCUCACCAACUUAUACAUAAUUACCAUACUGCACCAGUAGAAGAUAAAAGGCAAGCAGUGUAAGGAAGACUUCAACAGAUUCAAUAUAUAAUGAUAACGAAAAGUGAACGAAUCAAAAAAGAUUCACUGAUAGUUUAUUACCUUAAAAAAAUAUAUGUUUCUUAUCUUCAGUGUUGCGUGUCACAGUGGCUCAGAUGCAUUCGCGGUGCACUUAGAUUCCCGAUACCAGACCAGCCAACCACGUAUCCAAUAAAAUACUCCAUUGGGACAAGCCGAUGUAGCAAUCAUAAUCAUGUGCUGUACAAACGUAUGGCUGUUAGAUUCAUGGCAUCUUAGAGAGGGCCAGCUUUGAGAGUCGGUGAUAACAUAAAAAUAUUAUCAACUGGUGAGCAAAGCAACAAGAGAUUGCCCGUCGUUUGAUAGGUAGAACAGCUAAGACAGACAGAAGAAGAAUAUUAGGUUUCCUACGAUGGUAUGAUGUGAAUAAGAACUUGGUGUGGCGAAACAAAGCAAGUGUUGUAGUAGUGGCAACAAAACGUACACGUACUGAGAAGAAAUAAAUGGACGACGAGAAGUCAAACUCACAAAUGGCUAAUGCAAAGGAUCUUCUAUUAAACAAAAGGACACAUUCAAAAGGUUGGUGGAAAUGGACAUAAAGAUAAUAUGUGUUCUCCCAGGAAAAAGAAAUAAUACAACCUCUUGCGUGAAGAAUAAUAUUAAGUGGCCUUCACGCCAGUAAAUGAUAAAGCAGGAGAUAACAACAGCAAAAUGAAAAUGAAGCUUUCUAAUGUGCCUUCAAUUAUUCAUUUUAGCUAAAUUUCUUCAAAAUAUAGUAUAAAAGAAUAUAUUUGUUCCGUUCACAAUUAAUUAGCACAAGAAUAGAAUAGAUCGACAGUGAAAUGAACUCAUUCAGAUAAGUUAUCAUGCCAAUAAAUUAUGUAUAUGAGAUGCAUAUCUCCUCUUGCCUUUGUGCAAUGGUACAACUGGAUUCAGGUGAUCUUUGCUUGCAAAGAUAAAGCUACCAACAUUAACCUUUCCUAUAUUCUGCAUUGUGAGAGCCUCAUGCACUUAUAUUAUCUUUUACUUAGGUGUAUUGAUAACAAAGCAUCCACAAAGAUCGGCAUCAACCGUAUGAAUA
rnacentral:lncRNA from 1 species